UGGAGGCAGCAGUGAGGAAUUUUGCGCAAUGGACGAAAGUCUGACGCAGCAACGCCGCGUGGGUGAUGAAGGUCUUCGGAUCGUAAAACCCUGUCGUCAGGGACGAAGGGCUGCGACCUAAUACGUCGUAGUCUUGACGGUACCUGGAGAGGAAGCCCCGGCUAACUCUGUGCCAGCAGCCGCGGUAAUACAGAGGGGGCAAGCGUUAUUCGGAAUUAUUGGGCGUAAAGGGCGCGUAGGCGGUGAUUUAAGUGAGAUGUGCAAUCCCCGAGCUCAACUUGGGAACUGCAUCUCAGACUGGGUCGCUAGAGUGCUGGAGAGGGUGGUAGAAUUCCACGUGUAGCGGUGAAAUGCGUAGAGAUGUGGAGGAAUACCAGUGGCGAAGGCGGCCACCUGGACAGUAACUGACGCUGAGGCGCGAAAGUGUGGGGAGCAAACAGGAUUAGAUACCCGGGUAGUCU
rnacentral:rRNA from 1 species